AAUCAACGCUGGCGGCGUGCCUCAGACAUGCAAGUCGAACGCGAAAGUUUCCUUCGGGAGACAAGUAGAGUGGCGCACGGGUGAGUAACACGUAGGUAAUCUACCUUUGGAUGGGGAAUAACAACCGGAAACGGUUGCUAAUACCGCAUAAUGCAGCGGCACCUAAUGGUGACAGUUGUUAAAGCGGGGGAUCGAAAGACCUCGCGUCUGAAGAGGAGCCUGCGGCGGAUUAGCAGUUGGUAAGGUAAUGGCUUACCAAGGCUACGAUCCGUAACCGGCCUGAGAGGGCGGUCGGUCACACUGACACUGACAUACGGGUCAGACUCCUACGGGAGGCAGCAGUCGGGAAUUUGGGCAAUGGGCGAAAGCCUGACCCAGCAACGCCGCGUGAAGGA
rnacentral:rRNA from 1 species